CACCAGUCACUUUUGAUAUUUCAUUCAAUGAAACAUAAUGAGAAUUUUAAACAAUGGUAGUAUACCGUUUUCAUCAAACCUCAUGCAAAAGAAGGCAAAUAGUAGAGGAUAACUAGGCUUUAUCUGCUAAUUUAAGAGAGAUUCCAAUGCCAUUGCUGUCGUUGUACAAACAAUAGCACAUCUGCAAAGCAGUCUCCCCAUUCUAAUAUGGACAGCUCCAACUGUGUUGCUAUUUGGAGGCCCAUGGCAGCAUACUUCAGCAGUACAGCAAUGCAGAGAACAAUAGACACAUGCUAACACAAAUAUUGCUAACAUGGAAACCAGCCCAACAUUACAAUACUAGAGGAAUACCUCUGAUGCCAGUUUCUACUGGAUUGAUAUUUUCAUCAGGAUUCAUCAGGAUCAGGAUUGUUGUCAUCAUGUAGACACUGAACUAGCCAGGAGAUGUUGGACCAUGCUUCAUGAAGGAAAGUCUUCAUUUCUUUGACAAAGAAAUCUCCCAAUAAAGGAAGCAUGGCGGCAUUGUCAACCUGAAAUGGGCUAACAUUAUGAGGUAAUAGUGUUUCCGCCGUGCAGGGAAUUAUCCUUUAAAAUGUCCUGAAAACAGAUGUUUUGGAGUGAUGUGAUCCUUUGGCUUUCUGUGAACAUAAAUCUGUAUUGUACAGGGGAAGCAGCGUGAAAGAUAUCUCAUCAGACCAUUAGAUUGGUCAGGGUCCAGAUGUCAAGCACUUUACAUCAACUUAUGUGUAUUUGUGCUUUGGACUUGGAUACAACUGGCUUCCAAAUAAAAGACUUUUGAAAAAAAACUCCAUCUCUGUGAAGCUCACAACAUGAAGUUUUUUGUUGAGACUGGAUCAUAGGAGUCCAGAUUCAUUUAUAUGGUCAUUUUUGAGGCUGUAAUUUUUUUGGCAUUUAGGAACUAUCUUGUGAAGCAUUCAGCUGUGCCUGUUGGUGUGCUCUGACUUCACCAGUUUCUCUUUGAUGAUACAGUUUAGUAUAAGUUGUCAUUAUUUCUGAGACUCUUCCCUUGAUGUGUGAAAUAAUGUUGCCAUUUUUGUGACCAAUACACCUGAAAUUCAGGUACUGACUACUUGGCCUCUUUGCAACUCUGUAAUUGCCUCAAAAACUCAAAUAUCAUAUUUCUAAUUGUGAGACCUGUUUUAUAGCUGACACAUGUAGCAAUCAACCUCAUUUGCAGCUACACUUUUAACUGUGAUUUAGCUAUUUCAAAGGUAAACUAAUUUUUCAUGUGUUUUUUUUUGUUUGUCCAACUACUGUACCUGUAUUAUUUGGAGAGCGAUUCAUUAUAUGUUAUUUUUAGCAUAGAAUUUUUCUUCUGUAUCUUAUUUCAUCGAUUUUACUGCUGAGCUGUUUUGUAGGCAUUAUUAUGAUGAGGGUGUUUAAUAGAAGUUUCUCUGUAAUAUGGUAGAUAAAGUAGAUCAUUUUGGUGGCAGUUAUAUUGCAAUGAAAAAAAAACUUCAUGCAAUAAAAGCGAUGUUAAUGUAUUAAGCUGCAUUUUAUACAGAGUGGUUCAAAUGCCACAGAAGUGUUUUCUAUAUAAUAAUAACUAAGGGUUGUUUGUGCACAACCAGCAAAAAUGCCAAAAAUAUUUUACUUAAAUAUGAGCUUUGCACUUAAAUGAUGUUUCCACCCAAUUUACGAGUCAGAAAUUAAUACAAAAUUGAUAGAAUGCCUAAUGGUGACGAUACCCUUUAUGUGUGUUUGUGCAUAGGAUAAUGAUUGUAGUGCGUAGAUUAAGUUAAUGCCAUCUUUGUUCAGGAAAAUUAUUCUUGGUUUUAAGGUAAAGCUUCUACAAUAAUGCUAUUUUGAGAAGAGGCAUACUGAGGAUAAAAACAAUUUAUAAGCUAAAGCCACUGGGGGGACUUUCUGGGUGGCAUAGCUAGUUUGGAGUUAUCCAUGUAUGUUUUAUGGAAUCAUGAUUAAAAAGAAUUAUUCAGACCUAGUUUUGUAAUAUUACAUUCAUGAAAAGGUGCUGUUUGUCUUCAUUAGUACAAAAUUCCUACUAUUAUCUAAAACAGACCAUUUAAAAUGAAAAAUCAAUGCAUAGUAUUUUCUAUAGCAUUUUUAUAAUAUUGUGCAAUAUCACUUAUAGGACAAUACCCAACUUUCCUUCCAAAUAUUCUCACUCAAAAAGUUACUCAAAUAGGAUUUUUCUUUCAGUUUAUCUACGUAUCUGGACUAUGAGAUGAAGCCAGAGUCCACUGGGAUCAAAACCAUCUAUUUCCACACUGAGCAUAAAGCUUUUGAUUACUGCCAGAUUUUUAUUUGCACUGCAUAGUUUUAACAUUAAGAUACAAUAUUUUAAAAGUAUACAUUGAUUUGUGUGGUAAACCUUCAUCAAUAAUUCAGAAAAGAAAUAGACUGGUACACGAACCAGACUUGUACUUCCUUCCUCCAACAGCCUCCCCAACCCUUCCUUUUUACAGCUAAGGUUAUACUGUAUAAUCUGUACUGUAAAUGGUUUGGCUACUUUUUUUAACAGAUUUGUAAAAGGAGAUGUUCAAAUAUUAAAUUGCAGAUUAUAUGUGCCCAGCCCAAUUUUGGUGCACUACUUAAAUUUAGUGGCAAAAGUAGCAUAAACCCACAUGUGUAGCACAGCUCAGGACAAACUAUGGUAUUUAUCUGUCAUUGGGAUACAUCAUAUCAAGCCACUUUCAUUUUCACAGGCUUUGCAAAAACAGGCACACCUCUGUUGAACUGUAUGUGAAUUGCCUUUGGCCUAAUGUAGAUGUGCUCUUCAACUUUACUCUCAAACUUCUCAGACUCCCAUACCCACAGAAUGAGUGGAAAUGCGGUAUUAAACAGUCACUCUGAAAGGGUGAGCUAGAUUGAGCUACUUUUAUGUUCACAGAUUUUGGACAGGAGGGAUCCUGUGAUAAAUUACAGGUGAGCUUUGGUCAGCCCAAUGAGAAUAUAUUAUUUGUAUUUACUGGCAAACUUGCCACACUCCUAUAUCUGCAGCUUUGGACUAUAUUUAGCGGGCAUUCUAAAGGAUUAGAAAUUAUAUUGAGGCUCUUUAAUUUUCAUAGUUUGGUGACAAGGUUUAUUUCUGUUCUAAAUUACAGGUAAAGUUGAUGUCACAACACAGGGUAUGUUGUUUGCUUUGAAAAUGUCUUAAAUUAUGGUGAUUGAAAUCAAAGCAUUUGCAACAUUUUCAGACACUUUCCAGACAAAAGCAUUUUAAAUGUACUUUAAAAUAAGCAUUAAAAGUUAAUUAAUUAAAUAAUUAUUGAAAUGUAUUUUAUACAAUUUUGAAAACAAUACUCUGUUCUCAUUUGGGUUGAUUUGCCACGUUUGUGUGAGAAGAACUGAUUCACGUCUGUGAUGUUUCUGAAUGUAAAUAAA